GGGACGGCUAACUACGUGCCAGCAGCCGCGGUAAUACGUGGGUCCCGAGCGUUGUCCGGAUUUAUUGGGCGUAAAGCGAGCGCAGGCGGUUUGAUAAGUCUGAAGUUAAAGGCUGUGGCCCAACCAUAGUUCGCUUUGGAAACUGUCAAACUUGAGUGCAGAAGGGGAGAGUGGAAUUCCAUGUGUAGCGGUGAAAUGCGUAGAUAUAGGAAGGAACAUCAGUGGCGAAGGCGACCACCUGGACUUAUAC
rnacentral:rRNA from 1 species